AGCGAGCGAGCGACAGGCUGCGGCCGGGGAGCGAGCCCAACUUCGGCUCUCAACUUUGUUUUCGCUGCAGUAAACGCUGACAGAAGCGUCGGGGACAUCUGUGGCGUGACAGCAGACUUCCUUCUCUGCCGGGAACUGCACUGAGGUGUCCAGGACUCGCUGCCCAGUCGGGUUGCGCUGCGAAGGGCUGCGGCUUGGCAGGCGCGUGGUGCGGUCAGCACGGGCUGCGUUGGGCCUUGAGCAUCGCUGUGAGGCAGAGCCUCAAGGCACAUAAAUGAACUGGAGGGAGACAAGAUGAAAGGAGAACUGAUUCCAAUUUCAUAAUUAAUUUUUUAGCUGGUGAAUGAGAUAAUGUGCUGAUCAUCUUUCCAGCUGGAAUGCUCUUUUACUGGUUUAAUGAGGGUCAUAGGAUUUUUUUUUUCCUCAUACCUCUUAUGUUUGACUUUCAAAUAAAGCAAAUGUAGUAAUAUGUUGAUUGUUUUCUUCUGCUUUUCUUUUUUGUUCUUCCCUUGCAAGCCCUGUGGGAUCACCACUUCAGUAUUCCAGAAGGAAGCAAUGGAAGACUUCAGUUACCUGUGAACAGACUUGUCCUAUGAAGUAUUACAGCACUUUUCUGCUGUUCUGCCAGCUCUGCUGUUUGUCAGGCUUUGCAGGAGAAAGCCAGCUGUCCUGUUAAAUUACCAGUCUUUUCAAGAGGAAGUCAACUUCAGCGUUCUUUUAACUGAUAGAUAAACCUACACUGCCAGAAACAAAAAAAAUAAAGAAAGAAAGAAAAAAACUUGUACAACUGUACUCAAUAUCUAGCUUCAUGACUACAAAUGCUCUCAUAGUUGUGUGAGGAUGAGAAAUAUCUAAAAUUUGUCUAUAUCGUCAUAAAUAUUGUAAG
rnacentral:lncRNA from 7 species